rnacentral:lncRNA from 1 species
AAUUAAUUUGGGGAAACAUAAAUAUUUUAAUUAUUAAUUUAUUUUUGUCCACUCACUCUAACGUUAUUAAAUGUUUUCCCUUGGGCCCUUCGUUUUAAAUUGCCCAGUCUGCAGAGUUCGGGUUGGAUCUAGUAGGAGACGAGGCAUAGUCACCCGCUUUUCGGCCAGUUUUCAUCAGUAGGUUACCUGUUCAACCUACUUGUGUUUUCUUGCUUCCGCUUGUGUUUAGUAGCUCUGAAUACUUUAGAAUUUUUGUAUAUUAUGUGAUAUUCAGAAGCGUUAAAUUAAGAGUGUAAUAUGAAAUUUUCGAGUUAGGGUUGUCCAUCUGCAAGGGAGAUUUUCUUAAUCUUUUCAGUAAAUUUUCCUUGGAGGUGGUCCCCGCACGACUUACUCUGGGUUUCAGGGUGAAAUUCGGGGUGGGUCGUGUCACGAGCUGCCCUGUGGUGGUGACUUGCGCCGAUUCAGUCCCGAAGUGGUGGCCCGAAGCUUGGAAGUCCGGCUUGGAGACCGGUCGGGUUUCCCACCUCCGGUGGCGGCGACGCAGCUUGGAAACGGUCGGGAUAGGAGCUCCUUAACGUCCUGGUUUGUUUUCCGGUGGUCUUGAAGCUCGACUCUCGGUGUGGAGUGGUGGUGGUGAAUUCCAACUUUUCCGGCGGGUUUCCGGUGAUUUCCGGCCAAUUCCGGCCGAACUAGUUGAACCCUCAGGUAUAAAAGAUGCUCAUCUCUCCUCAAUCUACAAAUUUGAUGUUUUGAGUUUGCCCUAAUUCGGACGUUUCGUGGUGGCGCGUGGGGCCCACUCGCCGCCGCCUGUGGUGGCGCGUGGCGGCGCGUCCGGUAGUGUCUGGGGUGUUUUGUGGUGCUGGUUAGAUAGUACUCUUCGAUACGAGUGUGUUGAUUUGUGGGUUGUAGGUUUUGGUUAUCUUUAUUGCAUGCUAGGGUUUCCCCGUGGUGAUUAGUUUCGUUCGUUUCAUUUUUUUGAGUAAUCCGAACAUGAGAUUCUGGUUAGUAGUUCUAUAGGAUGUGUAGGACGUUUCAGCGACCUUUUAGAGGUCAAGGAGGAGGAUUUGUCUCGAGUGAUAAGCUCGUGGAUUAGGACUUGAGUUUCGGUUCGAGUCGGAUAAUGUUGUUUUCUUAGUUACUAAGGUUAACGUUUUGUUAAUAGGUGACUUGUGGUGUGGUUUUGUGUGAUAUGCUUGAGUUGUGCGUGCGAAGACGCAGCUGGAUUUGAGGUGAGUAACAUCUCACUAAGGUCCACUUUCGGACCAAUCAUUAUAAUUAUUAUGAUGUUGAUUUUGGAGAUGAUUAUGAUGAUGAUUGUGAUGUUGUUUUUGAGGAUGAUGAUGAUGAUAAUUAUUAUGAUGACGAUGGUAAUGGUUUUGUUUGAUGAUUAUGAUGGUAUUUUUAUAUUGUGAGUAAAUCUCACAUGGGUUCUUAAGGAACCGAAUUUACUUUAUAAUUUUGUUUUAUUAAUUGUGAAAUUGUCCUUAAAAGGAAAAAUGACUUUGUUUUUAAAAAUAAAUGAGUUUGAUUGUCAACGGCUCAUGGUAAGUGAAAACAAGUUUUCUGUUAAAAAUAAAUCUUUCAAAAGGACUUUCGAUCAUGUGAUAUGGUGAUGUUGAAAUAUGUUUGUUGAUAGAUUUUCUAGUGGGAAUAUCUAUGUCUUUGUUUAUAUAAAUAUAUCUAGGUGGAAAGAUAUAAUUUAUGAAGUGCUCUUGUGAUGUUGUUGAUGAUAUUUUUAUAUUGAAUUGUUGUUAAAUAGUCAAACCGGGUUCCUAGCUUUUAAUCGGGUGAUAGGUUACGGUUAUGAUUAUAUUAUUAUUUUGUGAAUUGAUAAGUGUUAUGUUGGGAGAGUAUUGGAGUGUGUGCCUUAGUGGUGAUUGUGUGCAUUAGUUGUGUAUGUGUGUGCCUUAGUGGUGAUUUUGUGCAUUAGUUGUGUAUGUGUGUGCCUUAGUAGUGAUGGUGUGCAUUAGAUUAGGAGCCUUCGUGGUGGAUCGGGAACCAAGCCUUGGCCGGGUGAUUGGUUACGGUCAGUAUAGAGCUCUAGUCUGUCAGUCGGUACUUCAUGGGGGAUGACUAAGUGUUGACGAACCCAUGAGUAUGCAUUUGUUGGUUACUUAUGGGGGAUGACUAAGUGUUGGCGAACUCAUAAGUAAGAGUAGAGAAAUGAUUGUUUGAUGUUCUUAUAUGUUGUCUUUUAAAAUUUCUUGUUUUUAAGUAUUUCCUGAACUAUGCCUUUUUUGCAGAAUUUCAUUUUGAAUUGGCUUGAUUGUGAGUUAUUGCGUUCUUUUUAAUUAUUUGUUUCAUUUAUGAUUUUGAGUGAUUUUGAAUUAUUGUGUUUUUCUUAAUUGCUUCUUUUGAUUUCUCUUGCUUUUAGGUGAUUCCUGAACUAAGUUAUCAAGGCAGGAAUUACCAACUUUAAUUAUAUGUGAUGUUAGGAUUGUUGAGUUAUUAUUUGGGAGUUACUCAUACGAGCUUUUUAGCUUACCGGGUUUGUUGUUUACAACCCGGUGCACCAAUUCAUGGUGUAGGGUUUAGACCUGCAGGUGAUGAUCAGCAUGGUUGAGGCAGUGGCCUAGGAGCUGGGUUUUUGACGAGAUACAUUUAUUUGUAUUUUUAUGGUAGUUGUUUUAAGCUCUUAUGAGCGAAGUUGUUUAUUACUAGAUUUUUGGAAGUUGAUGUAAUUAAGGAGAUUAAAUGUUUAACUCGGUUGAUGAGUUUAUCGACAUUUACAUUUCCAGUAUUUGUUUUUAGUUUUUGAAAUUGUUGAGAAGGUUUUCGGAUAUUUAGAAUUUGAGUUUUAUCAUGUCCAAAUUUUUUUAAAUUUAUCCAUCGAAAAUUGGGGUGUGACAGAUCAAGGUCUUGAGCCUGAGAAGUUACUGGAUACAACGGAGAUUCAGGUGUUGAACGGAGACAGGCAGGAUUUCUUAUGAGUCCAAAAAAUCUUGAAACAGAGAUUCACAACAGUAAAAGAUAUUUUCCACUUAAAGACGAUGGUAUAUUGGGUUUCUGGGCAAAGUUUAAAACUAAAUGGGCUUUAAAUAAGAAAAUAAUAUGUUUAAUGGGUUAAAGGUUCUGCUGGGCUUUUUGGGCUUGGUUUUAAUUUCUUUCACUAGCCCAUAUUAAAACUUUGCCCAUCAUGCAUGAACUUUGGUCCUAAGCCCAAAAUUAUUGAUGAAUGUUAUUUUAACAAUGGGCCUCAUGGGAUCCGUUACCUUCCACACCACAUCCUCUCUUUAAGCCCCAAUGAACAUAGCUUGGGCCUAAGUUUAUUAAUAUUACAUAUUAUGUUUGCAUGGUGAUUGCUUGAGAACUUAGUUUAUUAAUAUUACAUAUAACUUUUCAGAAAGUAUCUUUGGGACUAUAACAGACUUGCAUGAAGGCCCAAUGGAGUCACGAGCAUGCGUUAAAUCUCAAAUAUUGUGGAUUUUUAGGUACAACAAACGUAAAACUUCUUUAGGUACUUUCCCUCUGUUCCUUAUGCAUGCUCCAACAAACUUACAGUAACAUUUCAAACUUUGUAGUAAUAGAAUUAAAACCCGUUGUCCUCUUCAACUCUUCCAGAAAUUGUUCAAAUUUUUCAUAUAAAUAACAUCCUCUAAUUCCC